CAUGACCUGAGCCAAAGUCGGAUGCUCAACCGACUGAGCCACCCAGGGCGCCCACGCACAAAUAUCUUGUGUGCUGUUGUCAAAACCCUGCGUCUGCAGACCUGGAGAAGGCAGAGACCAAAACCCCACCCUGUAACCAGAAAUGCUGGGAGGACCCGCCACACCAGAGCCGACCACCAGGUGGCACUAGUGCUGAGCUAAUAUGGGCUCGGCUUUUCCUCUCAGCUUUCCCGAGAGGCCGCCGCAUUUAACAGAGGCCAGUGAUUAGAAGCUCUCCGCGCUGACCCCUAUUCAGGCCCAGGUGGCUCUGAGUCUGCAAGUGAAUCUCCGGCCAGAAGCAGAUUUGUUCAGGAACUUGGGCAGCCAAGACCGCAGCUUUGGGUUGGAAAUGUGCCAUAGAGGGAUUUUUAAGAAAUUCUCGCCCUCAUGGAGCUUAGGCUGUCUUCGAGAAGGAAGGCGGUGUGAGGGGAUCGGCACACAGCAGGACGCACAGUGCUUGUACCUGGUUUUCUUCUUUCCGCUCUGCCCUUUGGUGGUCGGUCCACAGCUAGGACAUCGCUGUCACUUCUCUGCCAAGGGCUCCCUGGCAGGAUGCUCACCUUCACCUCUCUGCAGAACUCUUGCCAACCUGAGGACCAGACCCUCGAUGUGGCUGUCUUCUCUCCACUCAGAAGGACGAGGAAGGGGAGGAGGAGGAGGAGGCCAGGAACAUCAGGUUCUCACCUACAGGAUCAGCUCUGCGGCAACCAACCAGGACCCAGGCUAAGCAGAGAUGAGAGCCGUUAAUCCCACCAGACUAACGCCUGAGAACUGGAGUCCGGGGUGGGGGGUGGGGAUCACAAGAAUAUGUCCUACUAAAAGCUCUCCUGUGACUCUGCUGUAUCGCCGGGUGAGGGAACCGCUGCACCAGGACUUAUCAUCAAGUUGCUAGAUUUGAAAGUCUGAUCUAGAAGAUUUCAACUCCGAAAGUUUGGUUCAACCUGCUGUUCCACCGUGCCCCACCCUCUGGCCUUCCCCUUUGCCCUGAUGGUGCCCGGAGAUCUCAGUGUCCUUAACCACCCGGUUUGCUCAUUAGUUUUCACUGUCUGUUAGCAGUCUUGCCCCAGGGGGCAGCUCGGGUCCCUCCUGGUGCAGAUAACUAAUAAUCCACGUUGAAGCUAGAAGACCAGCGCACAUCCCAGCAGGGCGUCCUUUUCAUUACUCAAGCUCAACGUAAAUGCAUUCACUGGGUCCUCCUCUCAAGCAGCUCCUUCUCCUGGCUUCUUUGUUUCUUUCUGAUCUUAGAUGGUAAUUCUUCUUGGGGCGCCUGGGUGGCUCAGUUGGUUGAACGUCCGAC